GGGCCCGUAGUUCAGUCUGGUUAGAAUGCUCGAGUCUCCAUCGAGUGGAUUUAAUUCCCGAUAAUGGUCCGCAGUUCAAAUCUGCGCGGGCCCA
rnacentral:tRNA from 1 species